AGAAGUACUCAAAUCCGGCGUUCCGCUCAAUUUGAUCAUUUAUUCAUAUAUCAGGCUUACCAACAUGUGUUAAUUCAUAAACCAUUCAUGGUAUUAUUUCAUGCCAAAUCAUAUACUGAAUAUACCAUACACACAUACUAUGAAACUUUAUUUUCACACAUGAGCUUAAACCACGACCAAUAAUGCACAAAAAUAAGCAUCAUUCAUAUUUCAUCGUUUAUGAGUUAUAAUCAAACAUAUGACCAUUUAUACACGAAUCAUUCAUAUAUUUCCCAAUUUUCCUCCUCCUCAU
rnacentral:lncRNA from 1 species